CAAUUUCCCGUCCUGAUUUUGCUGCUGAGCUGGAUAAGGGGCUUGUUCUAACCUGGUUUGGCUUUUCUAAAUUUAACUUUCUCCCAUGUUUUGCUUCCCUGGAGACAGAAGCCCCUCUGUCUAUUUUCCUGGGACGUGAAAGCCAGCACCUGCUUUGAACCUACUGUGUGCCAGGACCUGCCCCCCUGGUUUAUGUUGAGUGUUCUUUCAGCUGUCACCUUGGACCAGUAACUGCACCACGCUGGAUCUCCAGUCCUUCAUCUGAAACCAGAGAUGAUCCCAGAUGGUCCCUGUAUCUGGAGUUCCUGCGAUGAUUAAAUGAAGUUCUCAGAACACUGCUGAACACCUGGUGUUGGAGACGCUCGUUCCAGUCCUGGGCUGGACCAGUUCCCUCUCCAGCCAUCUCCUGCCCAGUGGCCCGCACUCACCAAUCUCCACCAACCCACCUGGAUCCCAAAGGAGGAGGGCUGGAUGUGGGGAGGACAGAAUUGAGAAGCUGGACGACCCUGGUGCCACCAUCUCCAGGCAGGUCCUCCCCAGGGAGGAACCUCUGACUGCGCAGGAGGCUCU
rnacentral:lncRNA from 1 species